rnacentral:rRNA from 1 species
GACGGAGGGUGCAAGCGUUGUUCGGAAUUACUGGGCGUAAAGGGCUCGUAGGCGGCCAACUAAGUCGGACGUGAAAUCCCUCGGCUUAACCGGGGAACUGCGUCCGAUACUGGAUGGCUCGAGUGUGGGAGAGGGAUGCGGAAUUCCAGGUGUAGCGGUGAAAUGCGUAGAUAUCUGGAGGAACACCGGUGGCGAAGGCGGCAUCCUGGACCACGACUGACGCUGAAUAGCGAAAGCCAGGGGAGCAAACGGG